rnacentral:rRNA from 1 species
GUGAUGAAGGCCUUAGGGUUGUAAAGCUCUUUCGCCAGGGACGAUAAUGACGGUACCUGGAUAAGAAGCCCCGGCUAACUUCGUGCCAGCAGCCGCGGUAAUACGAAGGGGGCUAGCGUUGUUCGGAAUCACUGGGCGUAAAGCGCAUGCAGGCGGAUCGAUAAGUCGGGGGUGAAAGCCCGAGGCUCAACCUCGGAACUGCCUUCGAUACUGUCGAUCUUG